GACGAACGCUGGCGGCGUGCUUAACACAUGCAAGUCGAACGGAAAGGCCCUGCUUGCCGGGUACUCGAGUGGCGAACGGGUGAGUAACACGUGGGUGAUCUGCCCUGCACUUCGGGAUAAGCCUGGGAAACUGGGUCUAAUACCGGCUAGGAGCCAUUUUUAGUGUGAUGGUUGGAAAGUUUUUUCGGAGUAGGAUGAGCUCGCGGCCUAUCAGCUUGUUGGUGGGGUAAUGGCCUACCAAGGCGGCGACGGGUAGCCGGCCUGAGAGGGUGGACGGCCACAUUGGGACUGAGAUACGGCCCAGACACCUACGGGAGGCAGCAGUGGGGAAUAUUGCACAAUGGGCGCAAGCCUGAUGCAGCGACGCCGCGUGGGGGAUGACGGCCUUCGGGUUGUAAACUCCUUUCGCUAGGGACGAAGCUUUUUGUGACGGUACCUAGAUAAGAAGCACCGGCUAACUACGUG
rnacentral:rRNA from 1 species